rnacentral:rRNA from 1 species
CAGUCGCGUUCUCUGGGAUUCAGCCUUGCUUCUUGCUUGGUGCAUUUCCUAGUCUACGGGCCAGCAUGAAUCUUGAGCGGUGGAAAAGGGUUUGGGGAAAUGUGGCACCUCCGGGUGUGUUAUAGCCCCUUGCUGUAUACACUGGUUGGGAUUGAGGUUUUCAGUGCACGCUUCGGUUGUGCUUUGAUGCUGGCUAAUGGCUUUAAGCGACCCGUCUUGAAACACGGACCAAAGGGUCUAACAUAUAUGCGAGUGUUU